GGGCCAAACAAGAGGGAAAACACUAGAACUGCAGCAAGAAAGGAUGGGAGUCAGACUACAGGAGGGUUCCUUGGGCAUCUGCGACUCCCUCUCAGGGCUGCCAUGUACAGUUGUACAUGUUAGUGACUGAGUACUGUCUAGCCAUGUUGGCCAAAAGAUGCCUCCUUCGUUCAGUGAGAAGUGAAGAGAUAGAACGUGAGAACAUCCGUCCCCCUGCCUGUCCAGAGCUGAUGGUCCAGCAGGUGAAACAGCAGUGAGCAAGCAGUCACCCCGCAGUGCUUAACAGCCCUGAGCAGAUGAGCAGCAGAAGAGACAAGGACCAGGAAGAGCUGUUGCACUGGCCUUGGCAGGAAGCAGACCACUGUCUCCAUCUAAACGACACAGGAAGGCUGGGCCCUAUCAGAGAGAUGCUGAGAUCAGACCACAAGCAGGGGAGUGGGGCAGUGGUGGGGUCUUGGCCCCGACCUUCUGGACUUCCUAGAGAUGGUGGAGAAAGGACUGGGAGAAGGAAGGCAGCAUUGGAAUGGCAAACCUCUGAACUGUGCCCUUACCCUGCGCUUAGGACAGCAGCUGGUGGCCCAUCACGGCUUUCUGUUCAUCCCCAGCACCCUGGCUUUGCAUUUGCAUUUUGAUUCUUGUCCCUUCCUUCCACACCCUCAGGACUGUGUGCAGGUAUCCCCAUCUCCAGGGUCACACAGUAACCUCCAGGGAUCUCAUGGGCUCCAUUGGCUGGCGUCUCUGCCACACGAAAGGAGAGCCUGUCAAGGGGGCGCAGCCCACCAUCCCUUGUGGGAGUUGAGGAAUCGAACCA